CGGCGAGUGAAGCGGCAUCAGCUCAAAUUUGAAAUCUGGCGUCUUCGGCGUCCGAGUUGUAAUUUGUAGAGAGUGUCUCGGGUGGAGCACCGGUCCAAGUCCCUUGGAACAGGAUAUCAUAGAGGGUGAGAAUCCCGUAUCCGGCCGGCCCCCUCCCCCGCUGUGAGACCUCUUCGACGAGUCGAGUUGUUUGGGAAUGCAGCUCUAAAUUGGAGGUAAAUUCCUUCUAAAGCUAAAUACUGGCCAGAGACCGAUAGCGCACAAGUAGAGUGAUCGAAAGAUGAAAAGCACUUUGAAAAGAGAGUCAAACAGUACGUGAAAUUGUUGAAAGGGAAGCGUAUGCGGCCAGACUUGUCCCCAGUUGCUCAGCCCGUCUUUUGGCGGGUGUACUCUUCUGGGGCCAGGCCAGCAUCGGUUUGGGCGGUCGGAUAAAGACGUUAGGAAUGUGGCCCCUCUCGGGGGGUGUUAUAGCCUGGCGUGCAAUGCGAUC
rnacentral:rRNA from 2 species